rnacentral:rRNA from 1 species
CUUGAACGCUGGCGGCAGGCCUAACACAUGCAAGUAGAACGAGUGGCGGACGGGUGAGUAAUGUCUGGGAAAUUGCCUGAUGGUGGGCGAUCACUACUGGAUACGGUAGCUUAUACCGCAUUCCAUCCGUUGUGCCCACAUGGGAUUAGCUAGUAGGUGGGGUAACGGAUGCCCUAGACGACGAUCCCUAGCUGGUCUGAGAGGAUGACCAGCGACACUGGAACUGAGACACGGUCCAGACUCCUACGGGAGGCAGCAGUGGGGAAUAGUGCACAAUGGUCGCAAGCGUGAUGCAGCCAUGCCGCUUGUGUGAAGGAGGCCUUCGGGUUGUAAAGCAUUUUCAGCGGGGAGGCGUUACCCGCAGAAGAAGUACCGGCUAAGGCCGUGCCAGCAGCCGCGGUAAUAC